UACGUAGGGGGCAAGCGUUGUCCGGAAUUAUUGGGCGUAAAGCGCGCGCAGGCGGUCAUUUAAGUCUGGUGUAUAAACCAAGGGCUCAACCUUUGGACGCAUUGGAAACUGGGUGACUGGAGUGUAGGAGAGGAAAGUGGAAUUCCACGUGUAGCGGUGAAAUGCGUAGAGAUGUGGAGGAACACCAGUGGCGAAGGCGGCUCACUGGACCGGAACUGACGCUGAGGCGCGAAAGCGUGGGGAGCAAACAGG
rnacentral:rRNA from 1 species